UACGGAGGGUGCAAACGUUGCUCGGAAUCACUGGGCGUAAAGCGCACGUAGGCGGCCGCUUAAGUUGGGUGUGAAAGCCCUGGGCUCAACCCAGGAAGUGCAUCCAAAACUGAACGGCUUGAGUACCGGAGGGGCUCAGAGAAUUCCCGGUGUAGAGGUGAAAUUCGUAGAUAUCGGGAGGAAUACCAGUGGCGAAGGCG
rnacentral:rRNA from 1 species